CCCAAAAUGGCCCAAAGGCCACCAGCGAAGCGCCCAUUCGGUAGAAAAGCCUCGAACAGGAGUAGCCGAAGCAUACAGCGAACUGCGAAGUAACAAUUCCCAGAGCACCCAAACAAACAGAAACAAUUUAGCAAAGCCAUGGAAGUGGAGGGAUCUUCGAAGAAAAUGAUCGCAACGCAGGCUGAGAUGGUGGAGGCGAAGGUCCCGCUUCCAUACAGAGACCAAUGCGCCCACCUUCUGAUCCCACUCAACAAGUGCAGGCAAUCCGAGUUAUACCUACCCUGGAAGUGCGAGACCGAGCGCCACUCCUACGAGAAGUGCGAGUACGAACUCGUCAUGGAGCGGAUGCUCAAGAUGCAGAAGAUCCGUGAAGAAGAGGCCAAGUUGAAGCAACAGCAGACGAAGAAACAGCCGUUUCCUCUCAUUCCCAAAACUGCCCAGGCUUCUUAGACUAGAAUAUCCGAAAUGGGAGCUUUGAAACUGUUCAGACAUGGAUGCUCCAAUCAUUUUCACCGGUAUUGAUUUGAAGUUAACUGAAACUGGUUGUUCGGAAACAAGUACGUGACUUAUUUUUUGCUGCUUCUUUUUGAGUUUGCAACCCUUUGUCAACAUAUGGAAUAAAAUUUAUCACAAUGAUAUUUGUGAUGUAUAUUUGGCCGCUGUUCUCCAUUUCUUCCGUAACUUGGAAAGGGGUAAUACUAUGUUUAAGCUU